GCCAGCCCGCUCAGAAACUCAAAGGAAUUGACGGGGGCCCGCGACAAGCGGAGGGAACAUGUGGUUUAAUUCGAUGAUACGCGAGGAACCUUACCUGGGCUAGAACGCAUUCGGAAUCAGGCCGAAAGGCCUGCGCCAGCGAUGGCCGCUUGCGAGGUGCUGCAUGGUUGUCGUCAGCUCGUGCCGUGAGGUGUCGGGUUAAGUCCCAUAACGAGCGCAACCCCUACUGCUAGUUGCCAGCGGGUCAUGCCGGGGACUCUAGCGGAACUGCCAGCGUAAGCUGCGAGGAAGGUGGGGAUGACGUCAAAUCAGCACGGCCCUUACGUCCAGGGCUACACACGUGUUACAAUGGCCGGUACAGAGGGCAGCCACCCCGCGAGGGGGCGCGAAUCCCGAAAGCCGGUCCCAGUUCGGAUCGGAGUCUGCAACCCGACUCCGUGAAGCUGGAUUCGCUAGUAAUCGCGCAUCAGCCACGGCGCGGUGAAUACGUUCCCGGGCCUU
rnacentral:rRNA from 1 species